GACGAACGCUGGCGGCGUGCCUAACACAUGCAAGUCGAACGGAGUCUUGCGUCAACACAGAGUGCUUUUUAAAGAGCACUGUGUGUUGAUGUAAGACUUAGUGGCGGACGGGUGAGUAACACGUGAGCAACCUGCCCAUGGGAGGGGGAUAACAUACCGAAAGGUAUGCUAAUACCGCAUAACGUAUGUUUGCCGCAUGACAGACAUACCAAAGAUUUAUCGCCCAUGGAUGGGCUCGCGGCCGAUUAAGUAGUUGGUGAGGUAACGGCUCACCAAGCCGACGAUCGGUAGCCGGACUGAGAGGUUGAACGGCCACAUUGGGACUGAGACACGGCCCAGACUCCUACGGGAGGCAGCAGUGGGGAAUAUUGCGCAAUGGGGGAAACCCUGACGCAGCGACGCCGCGUGAAGGAUGAAGGUCUUCGGAUCGUAAACUUUUGUCAUCGGGGACGAGUAAGGACGGUACCCGAGGAGGAAGCCGACGGCUAACUACGUGCCAGC
rnacentral:rRNA from 1 species